GCCCGGAUAUAGUAACUCGCACAAAUGCCUUCGGGACUUAGCCCAGAUAUAGUAACUCGCACAAAUGCCUUCGGGACUUAGCCCGAAAUUAGUCACUAGCACAAAUGCCUUCGGGAUUUAGCCCGGUUAUCAUCCGGAUAUUCAUGCACAUAUCAAUAAAUCAUGACGCAUCUAUAUUUCAUUUUCAUAACUAGAAUUCAAACACAAGUCACUUAUCAAGCAUUACCAUUUUCGGC
rnacentral:lncRNA from 1 species